rnacentral:rRNA from 1 species
CCUACGGGUGGCAGCAGUGAGGAAUAUUGGUCAAUGGGCUUACGCCUGAACCAGCCAAGUCGCGUGAGGGAAGACUGCCCUAUGGGUUGUAAACCUCUUUUGUCAGGGAGCAAUUGGCGCUACGUGUAGCGUUAUCGAGAGUACCUGAAGAAAAAGCAUCGGCUAACUCCGUGCCAGCAGCCGCGGUAAUACGGAGGAUGCGAGCGUUAUCCGGAUUUACUGGGUGUAAAGGGCGUGUAGCCGGGAAGGCAAGUCAGAUGUGAAAUCCGGAGGCUCAACCUCCGAAUUGCAUUUGAAACUGUUUUUCUUGAGUACUGGAGAGGCAGACGGAAUUCCUUGUGUAGCGGUGAAAUGCGUAGAUAUAAGGAGGAACACCAGUGGCGAAGGCGGUCUGCUGGACAGCAACUGACGGUGAGGCGCGAAAGCGUGGGGAGCAAACAGUAUUAGAUACCCGGGUAGUC